UAUGUGCAUAAAAGGUUCCUUCCUACAUACUGUAUUAUUUUCAAUUAAACCAUAAUAAUCCUGUGAGUCAUGUCAAAUCUAGUAUUGAAUACCAAUAUAGGUACUUCAAAUGUAAACUUCACCACUACUCAGGAAUCAAUCAGUUUCACCUACAGACCAACUGCUUAUUGUAGUGCAGUGUAGUGAUGGCUCAGUGGUGAAAAACAUUGUGAGGAAACCGACAUAUCAUAAGAUAGCGUGGUGGAUAAUGACCUGAUCCCUUACAGUGUUUAAGUUUAAGUUAGCACUACCAAUCCCAUGUCCCAGCAGUGAGAACGUAUAUGGGCUGACGAUGAUGAUGAUCCUAAUUUAAUUUAAAUGUGACAUUGUUAUAGAAAUAUGUAAUUUUUCAUGUUAGUUACCUAAAUAAAUAAAACUUGUGUUUUUA